rnacentral:rRNA from 1 species
AGAGGGUGCAAGCGUUGUUCGGAAUUAUUGGGCGUAAAGCGCGUGUAGGCGGCCUUGCAGGUUGGGUGUGAAAGCCCUCGGCUUAACCGAGGAAGUGCGCCCAAAACUACAGGGCUUGAGUACCGGAGAGGGUGGCGGAAUUCCCGGUGUAGAGGUGAAAUUCGUAGAUAUCGGGAGGAACACCAGUGGCGAAGGCGGCCACCUGGACGGAUACUGACGCUGAGACGCGAAAGCGUGGGUAGCAAACAGGAUUAGAUACCCUGGUAGUCCACGCUGUAAACGAUGAGCGCUAGGUGUUGCGGGUGUUGACCCCUGCAGUGCCGCAGCUAACGCAUUAAGCGCUCCGCCUGGGAAGUACGGCCGCAAGGCUA